GUGCUUCAACAUUCACUCAAGUUUGCCUUACGAAAUAGGACUAAUAUUGACUAUAACAUUACACAGUGCUCUGGCAUUCUUUGAACCUGUCCAGAUGAUCAAUCGUGCUUCGCCCUCUUUACCCACGUGGGUAAUCAUUUCCGGAAUAUUGAGUGUUUUUGUGUACUCGAUCGAUAUUUGUCUGUCAAUUAUCUACACAUCAAGGCGAAAUUUCAUCUCGUCUAUUCAUAAUAUAAGUUAUAUCAUCAUGGUAUUUCUGCUUGCGUCUGACUAUAUUAUUUACACUCUCACUAAAAGGAUGAUUUUUCGUUUUCUACGAGCAACUUUA